rnacentral:rRNA from 1 species
AGUGGCGGACGGGUGAGUAACGCGUGGGUAACCUGCCUCAUACAGGGGGAUAACAGUUAGAAAUGACUGCUAAUACCGCAUAAGCGCACAGUGCUGCAUGGCACAGUGUGAAAAACUCCGGUGGUAUGAGAUGGACCCGCGUCUGAUUAGCUAGUUGGUGGGGUAACGGCCUACCAAGGCGACGAUCAGUAGCCGGCCUGAGAGGGUGAACGGCCACAUUGGGACUGAGACACGGCCCAAACUCCUACGGGAGGCAGCAGUGGGGAAUAUUGCACAAUGGGGGAAACCCUGAUGCAGCGACGCCGCGUGAGCGAAGAAGUAUUUCGGUAUGUAAAGCUCUAUCAGCAGGGAAGAAAAUGACGGUACCUGACUAAGAAGCACCGGCUAAAUACGUGCCAGCAGCCGCGGUAAUACGUAUGGUGCAAGCGUUAUCCGGAUUUACUGGGUGUAAAGGGAGCGUAGACGGUUGUGUAAGUCUGAUGUGAAAGCCCGGGGCUCAACCCCGGGACUGCAUUGGAAACUAUGUAACUAGAGUGUCGGAGAGGUAAGCGGAAUUCCUAGUGUAGCGGUGA